rnacentral:lncRNA from 1 species
AAUGGGCAAGUUCAUGAAACCUGGGAAGGUGUCGCUUGUCCUGGCUGGACACUACUCUGGACGCAAAGCCAUCAUCAUGAAGAACAUUGAUGAUGGCACCUCAGAUCGCCCCUACAGCCACCUCUGGUGGCUGGAAUUGACUGCUACCCCCGCAAAGUGAUAGCUGUCAUGGGCAAGAAGAAGAUCGCCAAGAGGUCAAAGAUCAAGUCUUUUGUGAGAGUUUAUAACUAUAAUCACCUAAUGCCCACAAGGUACUCUGUGGAUAUCCCCUUGAACAAAACUGUCAUCAGUAAGGAUGUCUUCAGAGAUCCUGCUCUUAAACGCAAGGCCUGACGAGAGGUCAAGGUCAAGUUUGAAGAGAGAUACAAGAUAGGCAAGAACAAGUGGUUCUUCCAGAAGCUGCGGU